rnacentral:rRNA from 1 species
UGCAAGUCGAGCGGAUCUUGUCCUUCGGGACAGGUUAGCGGCGGACGGGUGAGUAACACGUAGGCAACCUGCCCAUAAGACCGGGAUAACUGGCGGAAACGCCUGCUAAUACCGGAUAAUCGAUUCGCCCGCCUGGGCGAAUCGUGAAAGAUGCUUCGGCAUCGCUUGUGGAUGGGCCUGCGGCGCAUUAGCUAGUUGGCGGGGUAACGGCCCACCAAGGCGACGAUGCGUAGCCGACCUGAGAGGGUGAUCGGCCACACUGGGACUGAGACACGGCCCAGACUCCUACGGGAGGCAGCAGUAGGGAAUCUUCGGCAAUGGACGAAAGUCUGACCGAGCAACGCCGCGUGAGUGAGGAAGGUCUUCGGAUCGUAAAGCUCUGUUGCCAGGGAAGAACAGCCUGGGGAGGGAAUGCCCUAGGCUUGACGGUACCUGAGAAGAAAGCCCCGGCUAACUACGUGCCAGCAGCCGCGGUAAUACGUAGGGGGCAAGCGUUGUCCGGAAUUAUUGGGCGUAAAGCGCGCGCAGGCGGUUUCUUAAGUCUUGUGUUUAAUCCCGGGGCUCAACCUCGGUUCGCAUGGGAAACUGGGAAACUGGAGUGCAGGAGAGGAAAGUGGAAUUCCACGUGUAGCGGUGAAAUGCGUAGAGAUGUGGAGGAAC